rnacentral:tRNA from 1 species
UGGCUCAAUGGUAGAGCACUUGCUUUGCAUGCAUGAGGCCGUGGGUUCAAUUCCUC